rnacentral:rRNA from 1 species
GACGAACGCUGGCGGCGUGGAUUAGGCAUGCAAGUCGAACGGUAUCAUCCUUUCGGGGGUGAGAGAGUGGCGAACUGGUGAGUAACACGUAGGUUAUCUACCCUCAAGACGGGACAACCCAGGGAAACUUGGGCUAAUACCGGAUGUGAGCAACUUUUAGUGUUUGAAAGGUGGCGUAAGCUGUCGCUUGGGGAUGAGCCUGCGUCCUAUUAGUUAGUUGGUGAGGUAACGGCUCACCUAGGCAAUGAUAGGUAGGCGGCCUUAACGGGUGGUCGCCCCACACUGGGAUUGAGAUACGGCCCAGACUCCUACGGGAGGCAGCAGUCGAGAAUAGUCUACAAUGGUCGGAAGACUGAUAGUGCGACGCCGCGUGAACGAUGAAUCCCUUCGGGGUGUAAAGUUCUUUUAUAUGUGAGCAGUGCUUCUUAUAUUAACAGUAUGGGGAGAGAGAUAUUAGCAUAUGAAUAAGCAACGGCUAACUCCGUG